rnacentral:lncRNA from 10 species
ACCUUGAAGAAGCUCCGGAGGAAGUGCACGACGCUGAGCAUGGUGGCCGCCGGGACGCCCGGAGCCCGGCCGCAGCACUACGAGCCGCGCCGCCGAGCCGGCUCCACCGACGCCACCCCGCGCCCCGCCCUAGGGUCCGCCCCCGCGCCCUCGCCCGGACGCUCCGCCCCCGCAAACCUGGCCACUGGAGGCACGUGAGGUCCAGGCUCCUGCCCUGCCCGCCCCUGGGCUUUGGUCACCCGCGGGACUGGGCACGCACAGGCACACAGCAGAGCCGUCCACAGACCCGGCCCAGGGGCCGCCGGGAUCAUCCCGCCCAGUCGAGCUCUUGGGCCCCCUUGAAGCCUAGGAGUGUUUUCUCAGAGAGAAAGCAGCACGCUUCUUGCGCAUUUGCACAUCUCCAACGCAGCGCUUCGGCCUGUCCUCCGCACUGGAGACUCAGGUGCCUCCGCCCUCCUGAGAGCAGGGGCGGCCUCUCUGCUGAGAGUUCUGAUUGUCAAGCUCCCAGAACUUUCAGAGUUCAGUCCGCCCAGCGUUCUUGUUUACCAGUUGAGGAAACGGAGGCCCAGGGAGGCUGUGCAGCGCGCCGGCACUCACACACCUGGUGGGGACAAAUGUGGACUAGGAUAUCUGGGACCGAAGUCUUGGCCUCCAGCUCCCUCUUGCCUCCCACUUACCUUUCCAGGAAGAGGCCCACGAAAGCUAAGACCCCAAGGCCCAUGUGCACCAUACUGCAGCCCUGCUCUGUCCACCAUUUCUGAGAUCGGCGCCCCACAGAGGGAGAGCAUCUGCCCAGACUGGCUUUUUGCACCCCUGCUCAAGCCUGCACCCUCGUCCAAGUCCUAGCCCCACUGAACGCUAUGCCUGGUCAGCAGUGCGUGUCAGGGGUGCCUGGCAGAGUGUGCAUUUUCCGUACACCCAACCUGUCUCUGCCUCUCCCCAGGCCCUCACAGCAACCAGGCCAGGCGAGAAGCUUGGGAGAUAGAUACUCAGAGGAGGCACUGUGGGGCCAUCUGAAGAUCCUGCGUCCCCUGUCACAGCCUUUAUGUCACUCAGGGUCCAUGACUGUGCUAGAAGCAUGUCCCUGAGGCCCAUGGUGGUGGGAGGAGGGUGUGGGAUUCGGAUCUGGGCACCUGGCUGUGCUGCACACCAGUUGUGUAAUCAUGAUCAUCUGCUCUAAACACGUAUCUUUAACAUUCGAGAGGAAUGACCGCCUGGUGGGGUUGCCAUGGAGAGUACGUGAGAAAUUAAACCUCACAGGUGCUUAGCAAAA